rnacentral:lncRNA from 1 species
UAAUUUCAGUCGAACAAACGUUAUCUUCGACGGAACGUAUCCGUCGUAAACGCUCUAUCUCUGAUGUAAAUUUUGUCGAAGUUAAUAAUUAGACAAUUUUAAUAAAUAGUGGGUUAUUUUAGUUUUCAGUCGAAAAUAAUAUAAUUCCGAGGGAAUACAUCCGUCGAAAAUAGGUACUGUUAUAUUCGACGAAAGUUUCGUCCUAUAUAUUCUGUCGAAGAUAGUU